UACGUAGGGGGCAAGCGUUGUCCGGAUUUACUGGGCGUAAAGAGCGUGUAGGCGGCCAAGCAGGUCCGUUGUGAAAACUGGAGGCUUAACCUCCAGACGUCGACGGAAACCGCGUGGCUAGAGUCCGGAAGAGGAGAGUGGAAUUCCUGGUGUAGCGGUGAAAUGCGCAGAUAUCAAGUGGAACACCAGUGGCGAAGGCGAGUCCCUGGACAACUCCUGACACUGAGGCACGAAGGUCAGGGGAGCAAACGGG
rnacentral:rRNA from 1 species